CCUACGGGAGGCUGCAGUGGGGAAUAUUGCGCAAUGGGGGCAACCCUGACGCAGCAACGCCGCGUGAUUGAAGAAGGCCUUCGGGUUGUAAAGAUCUUUAAUCGGGGACGAAUUUUGACGGUACCCGAAGAUUACGCUCCGGCUAACCACGUGCCAGCAGCCGUGGCUAUCUGUAGGGAGCAAGCGUUAUCCGGAUAUACUGGGUGUAAAGGGCGUGUAGGCGGGCAUGCAAGCCAGGAGGGAAAUCUGGGGGCUUAACCCCCAACCUGCUUUUGGAACUGCGUGUCUUGAGUGAUGGAGAGGCAGGCGGAAUUCCCAGUGUAGCGGUGAAAUGCGUAGAUAUUGGGAAGAACACCAGUGGCGAAGGCGGCCUGCUGGACAUUAACUGACGCUGAGGCGCGAAAGCGUGGGGAGCAAACAGGAUUAGAUACCCUUGUAGUC
rnacentral:rRNA from 1 species